rnacentral:tRNA from 2 species
UCCCAAAUAGCUCCCGCCUGAGGAGGGGUUAGAGCAUUCCGCCUGAGGCGGAUUAAUCAGAGGGUCGCUGGUUCAAGUCCAGCUUUGGGAG